GCGCAGGGAAGGGAGCGGGCAGCCCUGCGCAGGGGGCGAACCCGGGGGCUGCGCCGCGGCUCCGCACUCGCGGCUCCGCCUCAGCCGCCGGCAGCCCCCGCAGAGCCGCCCCCGGCCCCGCACCGCGCCGCGCCGCGCCGCAGGCAGCCCCCGGCGCCCCGGGAAGCGUUGCGGACCGACGGCUUGCACGUCGGUGGUCAGCAGAAGGCAGCUCUGCGCCUUAAGUGGCGACGUAGAGAAAAGAUGUGAGGGUCUGCAGCGAAGCACAGCAGAGGGUCCGGAGGACAGGCGUGUCGCAGGCGCUUGGCAGCACACGGCCUCGGGAGGGGGAACAGACGCCAUGGGGCAAGCUGGGGCACAAGAAUGAAAACACCUUUGAGACAAUAAAGGAGUUGGAAGAGGAGCCAGUGUGUCCCAUUCAGUAUUCUCUAAGAUAGGCUUUUGUGCUGGCUUCAGCCAGUUCUGAGCUCUUUGGGGCUUAAAUCUCCCCAGAAUGGGUGUGAUGUUGAGUUGUCUACUCCAGGGCAAAUGGAGAGGAGGAGGGG